GUUUUCUUGCGGUUUUUUGGCCGUACAGUACGCCCUGAGUGUGUGUUGAGUUCAUGAGAGACGAGAGAUUCUUUGGGAUUCCUGACAUAGAUAUAUGUCCUCUGACCGGAGUCGUUAAUUAACGCAAUCAUGGGGCGGUGAUGUCGUGGAUGCUCUUGCGCUUGGCGUCGCCGCGCCUGCCUGCGUUGGCCUGGCGGGUGAAGAACUUCUGCGCGUGGCUCGCCACCUGCGUCGGCGUUCGCGUCUUCACCGACCCCCGCGAUAUGUUGCGCCAGUCUCCGCGCCCGUACUUCUCCAGCCCUUCCAAGAACAGCCUACGGAAACAGAAGAAGGGAGAAAAAGGUUGCGCUGGGAAGGACAGAUGCACAGGCCAAUCGUUCAGAGGGAGGAUUCGAUCACGCCGGCGGCGGACUGAUGCGCCAUCGCGUGGCUCCUCCUACACAGUUCGAUGACCGGAUGCCAGAGGAACCGAUUGAACCUGAAGUAGAAGGCAAUGGUUAUGUCCACUAUUUUACAAACCUCCUAGUGAAUAACCAAGAAUCUGAUGAUCUUCCACCUCCUAGUCAUACAAGUAAUGAUGACGUACCGGGAGCAUCCAAAGGAUCACAGAAAAGAACAGAAAAUUUCAGAGAUGACGAGGAUAGAUUUCUUGUGUCAGCUUGGCUUAAUAUUGGCAUGGAUCCUAUUCAAGGAAGUGAUCAACCAUUGGGGGCAUAUUGGAGAAGAAUCCAUCAAUAUUUUCAUGCUAACAGGACAUUCGAGUCAGACCAUACACAGGGUUCGUUAAUGAACCGCUGGGGUGUCAUUCAACAUGAUGUGAAUCUUUUUUUUUUGGAUGUCUGUCAAAGAUUGAGGGAAGAAACCAGAGUGGUUGUUCAGUUGACGACAAGGUUAGUUUAUUUUUUACAAAUGAAAAUAUGUCAUGCAUGUUCAUUGGUGACAUCCUAGAUUAUUUGUUACAAAUGGAAGGACAGAUUGCAAGUGCAUGUGCAAUGUUUAAGGCUGAAGACAGUAAGAACAAGAAUUUCGCUUACACGCAUGAUUAUUUAUGUUUGUUUUAUUGGGUGCCCAUAGCACUAUUGCCAGCAGUGAUUCUGGAUCCCAACAAGAAAAAGUUAUACCUCGUCAAUUUAUCAUAUUUAUUAUGACUGAAAGAGCAAGCACACAAAUACACAAGGAGCAAGGAGAUAAACCAAAAAGUUAAUACUGUAAUUGUUUCAAGAUGGAAGUUCCUGUCUUUUUCAGAAUGCAUCGUUCUAUACCAUCUGAAGAAGUCGACAAUGUUUAGUCUUACAGCCCCUUUUUUUAUGCUUCAGUUUAGUACAAGACAUUGUCUCUCAGUUUCAAAAAUGUUGAUCUCCUAACUAACUUACAUCUUCCUUUUAGGCUGACAUUUGCAGCCAAAAAAAUCCUUUUUUUCCUGAUACGGUUCAGAA